GUUAAACGCUAAUAUGCGGACUGUUUCAGUUUGUUUAUUUUAUUAAUUUUUAAUGUGUAGGGCAAAGAGCUGUACAGCAGAAAACCACCGGCCACGUUGAUGUGUUUUUCUGUAAUAUUCAACAGGUGCAAUAAGAACGGUUCAGCUCGGAGCAAAGAGAGGCCACAUCAGUCCAAACGUCCACUGAAGAGCUGCUGUCCUCCAGGAUCACCUGCUUCAAAACCCCUGAGAGUGUUACUGGUUUACCUCUCAGACUCCAGAAGAUGAAGAAAGAGGAGGAAGAGGAGGAAGAGGAGGACGGAGCAGAGUCUGUAAUAUCCAGCUGUCUGUCUAUGAAGAGUGACCGG